rnacentral:rRNA from 1 species
UACGGAGGAUGCAAGCGUUAUCCGGAAUUAUUGGGCGUAAAGCGUCCGCAGGUGGUUUAUCAAGUCUGCUGUCAAAGCGCGAGGCUUAACUUCGUAAAGGCAGUGGAAACUGAUAGACUGGAGUGCGGUAGGGGCAGAGGGAAUUCCCAGUGUAGCGGUGAAAUGCGUAGAUAUCAGGAGGAACACCGGUGGCGAAGGCGGCUACCUGGACAGAAACUGACGCUGAGGCGCGAAAGCUAGGGGAGCAAACAGG